UCAACACCUAUGGGCAUAAUACCACAUGCUACACUACGAACAUCUGACAUAAUCUCCAUUGAUUUACCUAAUGUGGAUGUUUUAAAAAAGACAUAAAUCUUAACCGUAUGUUUUCUGUCAAAAGAAAGCUUGAGAACAAGAAUUUGUUCUGGAAUUCUCUGCAGUUGUCAGUGGUAAAACAAGUGGAUUCCUGCAACGAUAAUAGUUGUUUUGCACAAGGUAUAAAACACUGUUAUUACUUCGUGGAAGUCCUGAACUAUACACUGUGGCAUUUUAUUGUUUACUCCUGUUGAUUCGUGAAUUAAAAUAAAGAUUCAAAUUUGAUGA
rnacentral:sRNA from 1 species